CACCCAUCGCGAUGUCGCUUGGUUGUUGCCAUGGAGAUCACGGGGGGCGGUCUUUGCUGUAGGUGGACUCACGAUGCGAACUACACUACCCACAAGGCGCUGCGUCAUGAGUCCGCACCAGUCAAUAGCCAAUGAGGGCCCAGGAGAGGGGGCAUUUCUGUGCUUGCGCGCCGGUGGGGACGUGACUUCUGGUCUAGCGCUGAGGUUCUUCCUGUGGAUGUUUGAGUGUCUAUCUUAUUCUACUGGGGUUUUCAGAUUGCUGAGCUGGCGCAACAUUCAGACGGCUGUGGGCCUGAGCGGCCAGGACUUAGGUGACGAAAGUGGGUUCCCGUGUCAAAAGUGGCGCUACUGGAUUCGUCUCAGAUCAAGGAAGACACUUGCAGACACGCGGCAGGACCCGUACCCCCAAGGUCCUGAAAUCCCAAUGUUAGCGGAUGGGGGUGUGCCAUUCCUGUUUUGCUGGGGAAGGUCAGGAUGACUAGGGCCACUUUGAGUCUGUGUCCAUGUGUCCCAAACCAAUGGUUUGUAUGCCGGUAGAGGGGAUGGGGUGAGGUAUGGACGAGUAUUUCAUGUUUGUUUGUGAGACUGAGCUGAGAUCAUCUAGGGAGUCUCAAGUCCUUAUUAUUUAAUGAGAAUAAAGAGCCUGAGUGGAGGAUUUAGGCUUCAGUGGGACAUUAAGGAGCUGGGCUUUCAUUCUGACAUUGUCCUUAACAGGUCUUUUGGCUGGUAUGUGAACAGUCUCAGGGGCAGGGGAAAAAGCAGAAGGCCAGUGAGGAAGCUUCAGCAAUCAUCUAGGCGUGUAAUGGCAUCCUAGGCCAGAGAGGUGGCAGCGGGUGGGACUUAGGAGGUAAGAUCUUUAGAACAAGAUGGAGGUGUGGGUCCUUGGGGUGGAUGUAGUACUGGCAUAUAUGCAGGUGGCUAGGAGGGACUGGAAACCCUGGUGGCAUAGUGGUUAAGAGCUACAGCAGCUAACCAAAAGGUCAGCAGUUCGAAUCUGCCAGGUGCUCCUUGGAAACUCUAUGGGGCAGUUCUACUCUGUCCUACAGGGUCUCAAUGAGUUGGAAUCGACUCAACGGCAAUGAGUUUGAGGAGGGACUAGGCAGGUCCUGCACACAGCAGAGGUACCAGAGGGGGCCAGUAUGGUGUGCUUUGAAUGGAGAAGGUGGUGAGGUGGCUGCCGGUGAUUGGCCCUGCAGGUUGUCUGCGUCAUCACAGGGCCUGAUGACCUUCAAGGAUGUGUCUGUGCCCCUCUCCUGGGAGGAAUGGAGGCUCCUUAGUGUGGCCAAAAGGAGCCUAUACUGGGAUGUAAUGAUGGAGAACUUCAUGCUCCUGGCAUCUUUGAGUGAGGCUCCACUUUUUUUUCUUUAUGUGUUCCUUGUCAGAGGGGUUGUUGGUGCUCAGGCUGGCCAUGGGCAGUGACCCUCUCCCUAAGCACCACCUACACCUGCUGCCCCAGGAUUGUGGUGACCAGGGGAGAAUGGUCAGGAUUUUCUCCACCUAUCCAGUAAGCCCCUUGGGCUUGUCCAUUCCCAGGCAGGGUAAUCUGGCAGAGGCUGUGACCUCACUGUACCAUGGAUUCUUAUCCCUUUCUCCAACAGAUAUUUCCCAAAAGCUGCCUGGUGCCAAGUUCUGUGGGUACCGAUGUGGUCAUUGCUUUCAGGGACUACUGGGCUAUUCCUGCAAAAUCCUCCUUCAAGGUUCAUUUUGUGACAUUCUUUUUCCUGUCUGGUAAUAAAAAUGAAGCAAGCUCCUCAUGGUCCUCCUCAGGGUAGGUCACGCACAAACAGGAAAGGCACCUUACCUGCCCUGUCUUUCUCCACAGAACUUGUGGCCACUGCACCCCACAGGGUUAUUUUGUUGGAACAUGGCAAGGAGCACUGGGGGUUUGGUGGAAGGAUGCAAUUCUGGCCAUGACAAGAGAGGCCAGGAAGAGGUCUAACUUUGGGGAGUAGGAUUUGGGGGGUGGGGCUGGGGCUGGUCUUGGCUGGACUGUGCCUAGCCAAUGUCCUGUGUACAUCCGUAUUCCAUUGCCAAGGCCAGUUUCCCACCUUCAGUUCCACUUUUUUUAUGCCAUUCUGGACACUCUGUCCUCUUGCCUCUUUGAUGCAUAGUCCUGCCUUCCCUCAACUCUCUGGCCGUAAUGUCUUCUCCUUUCUCUACUUCGUAUCCCUGUACUGGACCCUCCAAUGUCACCUUCCAGUUUAUUUUAUGAAAUCUUCACAUAUUUUUAAAUAGUCCUUGAAAGCCUAGUCCUAGGAGGUAGCAGGAGGUUAUGUCCAUGUUCAGGCUUCCUUUUGUCACAAGAGCCAUACUGAGUCAUGUUAGGAGAUAAUGAGCAGAAGAUCCUACCAGCCACAUUGAAUUUUUUACUCUGAUCAGGAUUGUUUAUACUGUGGCUUUUCUGUGCCGUAUCCAACAGAGGAAACCCUGGUGGCAAUGUAGUUAAGUGCUGCAGCUACUAACCAAAAAGUCAGCAGUUCAAAUCCACCAGGCGCUCCUUGGAAACUCUGUGGGGCAAUUCUACUCUGUCUUAUAGAGUAGCUAUGAGUUGGCAUCAAUUUGACGGCAAUGGGUUUGGUUUUCACUAUCCAACAGAGUAGAUUCUUCUCUACCUCAAUCUCUGCCCUUUUAGUUUUGCAAGAACUCAGAGAAUUACCUCUGGAUGUGUUAGACAUUUGUUAAUGAUGAAUCCAUCCCUUCCCACUUAGUGUGAUGUGUAAAGAAGGCAUUUAUCUACUUUCAGGUGGUUCAUGUGGAAGGGAAGAUCAGAAGGCACCACUGGGACAGGAUGGUUCUGAAGAACUAACAUCCCAGGACCAAGCCCUGGGAUGGACCCGGAAAGAGAGAAGGUGCACCCCUCCUUGAAUUGUGGAGGUCUCUCAACCUGUGGUGGCCCAGAAGUCUGGCAACGGGGGAGGACUCUACGGCAGCGAGCUCCAGACAGAGGGAGAAAGUUUCUGUUGACCAUGAGAUCAGGUAAAAGAGGUCGAGAAAAAGAAAGGAAAAGACCAGGACAUAAAAAACAAGCCAACCUACUGGCCGCUGUUCUACGAUCAUCUGGAGGAAGACAAUGAGACCAAGUGCAAAGAGUGGUUGAUGCUGUGACCCCCUGGGUUUGGGCCAGUGGCCAGCCAGGACGACCUCAGACGGUCCUCCCUGUGACUAUGGAGCUGUACCUCAACGUCGUGCCUCCUCAGAUUAAACAAAUUGAGGCUCUGCUCGCCUAGGGCUGCAGGGACUGACCACAGGAUACCUAGAGUGAGGACUGUUGUGGGAGUGCCGAUCCCCAUUCAACACUCCUGUUCUCCCAGUGAAGAAGACAUCGACUGGUGAGUACUGUUUUGUUCAAGAUUGCCUGGCUGUUAACAAAGUUGUGAAGAUCUUAUACUCACUAGUCCUGAACCUAUAUGCCCUACUAUCAGCCCUUCCACCUUCCGGUACUCAGUUUACUGUUUUAGAUUUAAAAGACUCUUGUAUCCUGCUGACUGCCAAGAGUCAGCUAAUCUUUGCUUUCAAAUGGAAAGGGGACAAAACGGAAGAAACAAUUCUGUUAGACUGUACUACUUCGAGGAUUUAAGAACUCCCUCACUAUUUCUGGAACAGUGCUGGCCCAAGGUCUAGAGCGAUUACCUCCCUUCAGCUGAGGAAUAUUCCUGCAAUAUAUGGACCUCCUGAUAGGGAAUAAGUCUGAGAAAGACUUUUACAAAAACUUUAACUGUCUUAAACUUUUUGGAUGGAGUGUCAUUAAGAAAGUUACAAGCUAACCUCUAUCAGGCUACUCAGGGGGCAGGGAGAGAUCCUUUCAAAUGGAUUCCUGAGUGUCAAUGAGCCUUUUGAGAUUUAAGGUCCCCCUUUUUUUAAUGAAAGCCCCAGCCCUGGGGCUGCCAGGUUAUCAAAAAUCCUUUGAAUUAUAUAAAUAAAAGAAGAGGGGUAAUCGUUGGUGUAUUAACCCAGUUCUUGGGACCGUAGAGACACCCUGUCGCCCACCUAUUUCUCUGAAAACCUAGACACUGUCUCAAAAGGUUGGCAGGCUUGCCUCCCAGCAGUUGCCACUACUAACAUUAUCAAAGGUGGUUGAGUUAAUUUCUUUGGGACAUGAUACUAUCCCAUUUGUCCCUCAUGCAGUGACUGUAGUAUUGCAACAAAAAAGACAUUUGUGGCUCACCGCCAGGCAGCUAACAGUACAUCAAACACAGCUUUUGAGAGAAAUCAAAUUUAGCUUUUGUAAAGGGUUCAAAACUAAACAUCGGAUGAAAUAUUUACUGGCGUGUGUAGAUUCUUUUUCAGGAUGAGCAGAGACUUUUACCUGCCAGACCAAGAUGGCUAGAGAAAGGUACAACAGGCUUUAACUGCCUUAAGAAUAAAGUGGAAACUCCACACAACAUGGAGAUCUCAAUCUAUCGGAAAAGGGUGAAAGAAUGAAUCAGACCAUAAAAUGUCAUCUUAGUAAACUGUGCCCUAGACAGACAGAUGUUCUGCCACUGGCCCUCCUCUGAGUCUAUAUUGCACCCCGGGGAAAACUUAAAAUUAGUAAUUUGAGAUACUUUAUGAGAGACCAGUUUGUCUCCACCAACUCUCCCCAUGAUCCUCCACCCAGCUCCUAAUAUAAUGAUGUCUAAGUAUUUGCUUUCUCUAACGAAAAUUCUUUCAGUUAUAUCAGAUAAAAGUUUCCUCUUGAAAUAGCUGUGACCAGGUGCUCCUCUGGAAGUAAAAGGACCUCCUGUUACAACCUAAGUGGACUGGACCCUUCACUUCACCACACAGCACUGACACAGUUGUGAAGCUUGCAGGAGUCAAGCCCUGGAUCCAUCAUUCCAAAUCAAGCCCUGCCGGGCCUACAGUGACAAGGAGUAGAAAGUCCAACAGAUCAAUGGCCUGAAGUUAACACUUUUUAGGGUUAAAAAAGUAAAAAUGUUUUUACUGCUAACUUAAAUGAGACUACUGUUAGGAGCCAGAGAGACUUUUGCCCAGGGAAUCUUUGUCCCUGAGAUAAACAUACCCCAACCCCUUGUUAAAAAAUAAAAAUUUUUAGAUCUAUAUUGCUAGAGAAGUGUUAAACAUUACUGAUUUCUGUCUGCCCUGUCUGGACAUCGGGUUACAUGGCUAACUCGGCCCUCAAGUCCUAUCUCAUCAAAGUUUGUACUCUUGUACACAGAGUUAAUAUUCUAAUAUUUAUAGCUGAGAACUUACAAAAUUCAUGAAAAAUUUAAUUUUUCUUGACUGCCAGAUUUUACAUGGCUAAAAGCCUUAUUUAUUAAUGAAAUUAAAUUGAUUGUUAUAGGGCUGUUAAUGUUACCCAUCUCCAAUUUAUGCUUAUAUGUAAAAUUACAUUCUCUGUCCAAUAGAUAGCUCAAACCUGUCACAGGCAAAAGGCCCAGUUCUAUCACCUGAAACACUGUGAUCUAUAAGGAAUAGGUUGAAACUUGGGAUAGGUAAAUAUGGUCACCCAAGUUUCAAAGGUGGGAAUAUGUGACCGCAAUACUACCCAGCAUGUUUUCUCCUUUUUCAAAACAGACAACUGAGAGCUUAACGUAACUAAGGCCAUGAUAAACCUAUAAGUUGUUCUUCCUCUGCCUGCCUUCUCAUAUACCUCUGUUAAUGACUUUGUUCUUUGUCUGAAACUCAUGCAAAUAAUCUUUUGCUCUGGCAUGCCUACCUGUGGCAUACAACCCCCACAGGAAAGUUGGAGCCCAGGUAUCAGAUAUGCAUAUCUUUAGCCUAAUAAAGAAAUGCCUGGCAGGAGACUACAAAGACACUUAUAACCCUUGUAAGAUUCUAUAUUGGAAACCCUGGUGGCUUAGUGGUCAAGUGCUAAGGCUGCUAACCAAAGGGUUGGCAGUUUGAAUCUGCCAGACGCUCCCUGGAAACUCUAUGGGGCAAUUCUACUCUGUCCUAUAGGGUCGCUAUGAGUCAGAAUCUACUCGACGGCACUGGGUUUUUUUUGUUUGUUUGUUUUAAGAUUCUGUGUAAGCUCUAUCUAAUGUAAAACUGCUCUUUGGGACUCCAUAGAGACAGCCUGUGUUGCUGCUGGGUGAUAUAUGCAUCUCCUGAAUAAACUGUCUCACUCUUUCUGAAUUGGGGUAUGUUUCAUUAGCCCCACUGCUCCAUGGCACGGACCCUAAUCAGGUAACAUCUGUGACCUGUGCAAACCUGUCUUCAAAGAGAGUUUGCAGCUGGCUGAGGACCAAGGAAUACACGCUGAGCAGAAACCAUACAUGUGGCAAGCAUGUGGAAGAGACUUCUGGUUCAACUCAAGCCUUCACCACCACCAGCAGCAGUACAGUGGAGAGAAACCAUUUAGAUGUGAUAAGUAUGGGGUCUCAAUUUUGACAAACUAGUUCAGAUCAGACAUUGCAGAGACCAUAUAUCAGAGAAGUUUUUCAAAUGUAGGGAAUAUGGCAAGGCUUCCUGGGACAAGUCUAGCUUCUCCCAGCACCAUGCCACCCACAACGGGGGAAAGCCUUACGGGAGCAUGAAGUACAAGGAGACCACACCCAACUCUAGUCUUGGGCAACAACCCUCUAAGUGCAACAACUAUGGGAAAGCCCUCUGGAGGAGUUCUGCUCUCUUCAACCAUAUCAAAACACACAAUGAAGAGAGACACUGUAGAUGUGCAAUAUAUGGAAAAGCCUUCAAGGAAAAAGCAAUUUUUUUCAUCAAAAAAUUCACACCAGAGAGAACUCCCAUGUGUGUAAAAAGUGGGGGAAGGUUUUCAAUGACAUCUCUAACUUGAGAAAGCACCAGGAAGUUCAUACUGGAAAAAUACCUUACAAAUGCAGCUAGCUACUAUGGGAAGGCAUUCAGCUACAGUGCUCCUAUUUUGACACCAGAAAAUUCACACUGGAGAAAGGCCAUAUGAAUGCAGCCAAUGUGGUAAAACCUGUAACCAUAGCUCCAAUCUCAUUGAGCACCAGAGAUUUCAUACCAGAGAAAGGUCUUAAAAUUGCUCUGAAUGUGGGAAAGCCUUUAGCCAUAGUUCCACCUUCUUUCAGCACCAGAAAGUUCAUACUGGAGAAAGGUCGUGUAAGUCAUAUAAGUCCUUGGUGUUCUUCAUUCUCCUUUGCUCCAGUUGGGUUGAGACCAAUUGAUCCAUCUUAGAUGGCUGCUUACUAGCGUUUAAGACCCCAGACGCCUCUCUCCAAGGUGGGAUACAGAAUGUUUUCUUAAUAGAUUUUAUUAUGCCGAUUGACUUAGAUGUCCCCUGAAACCAUGGUCCCCAAACCCUUACCCCUGCUAUGCUGGCCUUCGAAGCAUUCAGUUUAUUCAGGAAACUGCUUUGCUUUGGUUUAGUCCAGUUGUGCUGACCUCCCCGUAUUCUGUGUUGUCUUCCCCUUCACCUAAAGUAGUUCUUAUUUAUUAUCUAAUUAGUAAAUACUCUUCUCUCUCCCUCACUCCCUCCCCCCUCUCAUAACCACAAAACAAUGUUUUCUUCUCAGUUUAAACUAUUUCUCAAGUUCUUAUAGUAGUGGUCUUAUACAAUAUUUGUCCUUUUGCAACUAACUAAUUUCACUCAGCAUAAUGCCUUCCAGGUUCCUCCAUGUUAUGAAAUGUUUCACAGAUUCAUCACUGUUCUUUAUCAAUGCGUAGUAUUCCAUUGUGUGAAUAUACCAUAAUUUAUUUAUCCAUUCAUCUGUUGAUGGGCACCAUGGUUGCUUCCAUCUUUUUGCUAUUGUAAACAGAGCUGCAGUGCACAUGGGUGUGCAUAUAUCUGUUCAUGUAAAGGCUCUUAUUUCUCUAGGAUAUAUUCCAAGGAGUGGGAUUGCUGGAUCAUAUGGUAGUUCUAUUUCUAGCUUUUUAAGGAAGCAGCAAAUCGGUUUCCAAAGUGGUUGUACCAUUUGACAUUCCCACCAGCAGUGUCUAAGUGUUCCAAUCUCUCCACAACCUCUCCAACAUUUAUUAUUUUGUGUUUUUUGGGUUAGUGCCAGCCUUGUUGGAGUGAGAUGAAAUCUCAUUGUAGUUUUGAUUUGCAUUUCUCUGAUGGCUAAUGAUCAUGAGCAUUUCCUCAUGUAUCUGUUGGCUACUUCAAUGUCUUCUUUAGUGAAGUGUCUGUUCUUAUCUUUUGCCCGUUUUUUAAUUGGGUUAUUUGUAUUUUGUAGUUGAGUUUUUGCAGUAUCACGUAGAUUUUAGAGAUCAGGCGCUAUUCAGAAACGUCAUAGCUAAAAACUUUUUCCCAGUCUGUAGGUAGUCUUUUUACUCUUUUGAUGAAGUCCUUGGAUAAGCAUAGGUGUUUGGUUUUUAGGAGCUUCCAGUUAUCUAGUUUCUCUUCUGCAUUGUUAGUAAUGUUUGUAUACUGUUUAUGCCAUGUAUUAGGGCUCCUAACGUUGUCCCUGUUUUUUCUUCCAUGAACUUUAUCCUUCUGGAUUUUGUAUUUAGGUCUUUAUCCAUUUUGAGUUAGUUUUUGUGCAUGGUAUGAGGUAUGGGUCUUGUUUCAUUUUUUUUGCAGAUGAACAUCCAGUUAUACCUGCACCAUUUGCUAAACAGACCGUCUUUUCCCCCACUUAACUGACUUCAGGCCUUUGUCAAUUAUCAACUGCCCAUAGGUGGAUGGAUUUCUGUUUGGAUUCUCAAUUCCGUUCCACUGGUCUAUGUAUCUGUUGUUGUACCAGUAGCCAGGCUGUUUUGACUACUGUGGCAGUAUAAUAGGUUCUAAAACCAGGUGGAGUGAGGCCUCCCACUUUGUUCUUCUUUUUCAGUAAUGCUUUACUUAUCCGGGGCCUGUUGCCCUUCCAUAUAAAGUUGGUGAUUUAUUUCUCCAUCUCAUUAAAAAACGUCAUUGGAAUUUGGAUCUGAAUUGCAUUGUAUGUAUAGAUCGCUUUUUGUAGAAUAGAUAUUUUUACAAUGUUAAGGCUUCCUGUCCACAAGCAAGGUAUGUUUUUCCACUUAAGUAGGUGUCUUUUGGUUUUUUGCAGCAGCGUCUUGUAGUUUUCAUUGUAUAGGUCUUUUACAUCUCUGGUAAGAUUUAUUUCUAAGUAUUUUAUCUUCUUGGGGGCUACUGUAAAUGGUAUUGAUUUGGUGAUUUCCUCUUCGAUGUUCUUUUGUUGGUGUAGAGGAAUCCAACUGAUUUUUGUAUGAUGAUCUUGUAUCCUGAUACUCUGCUGAACUCUUCUAUUAGUUUUAGUAGUUUUCUUGGGGAUUCUUUAGGUUUUCUGUGUAUAAGACCAUAUCAUCUGCAAACAGAGAUGCUUAUACUUCUUUCUUGCCAAUCUGGAUGCCCUUUAUUUCUUUAUCUAGCCUAAUUGCUCUGACUAGGACCUCCAGCACAAUGUUGAAUAAGAGUGGUGAUAAAGGGCAUCCUUGUCUGGUUCCUGAUCUCAAGAGGAAUGCUUUCAGACUCUCUCCAUUUAGAAUGACCUUUGCUGUUGGCUUUGUAUAAAUGCCCUUUAUUAUGUUGAGGAGUUUUCCUUCUAUUCCUAUUUUGCUGAGAGUUUUUGUCAUGAAUGGCUGUUGAACUUUGUCAAAUACCUUUUGCAUCAAUUGAUAAAAUCAUGUGAUUCUUGCCUUUUGUUUUAUUUAUAUGAUGGAUUACAUUGAUUGUUUUUCUAAUGUUGAACCAUCCCUGCAUAACUGGUAUGAAUCCCACUUGGUCAUGGUGAAUUAUUUUUUUGAUAUGUUGUUGAAUUCUAUCAGCUAGAAUUUUGUUGAGGAUAUUUGCAUCUAAGUUCAUAAGGACUAUAGGUUUUCACCUGGUUUUGGUAUCAGGGAUAUGCUGGCUUCAUAGAAUGAGUUUGGGAGUAUUCCGUCCUUUCCUGUGCUCUAGUAGUACUGGUGUUAACUCUUCUCUGAAAGUUUGGUAGAACUCUGCAGUGAAGCUGUCUGGGCCAGGGCUUUUUUUUGUUGGGAGUUUUUUGAUUGCCUUUUCAAUUUCUUCUUUUGUUAUGGGUCUAUUUAGUUGUUCUACCAUUGUUUGUGUUAGUUUAGGUAUGUAGUGUGUCUCUAGGAAUUCAUCCAUUUCUUCUAGGUUUUCAAAUUUGUUAGAGUACAAUUUUAUGUAGUAAUCUGAUAUGAUUCUUUUAAUUUCAGAUGAGUCUGUUGUAAUAUUGUCCACUUCAUUUCUUAUUUGGGUAUUUGCUUCCUCUCCUGUUUUUCUUUUGUGAGUUUGGCCAAUGGUUUAUCGAUUUUGUUAAUUUUUUUAAAGAACCAGCAUUUGGUCUUGUUAAUACUUUCAAUUGUUUUUCUGUUUCUAUUUCGUUUAAUUCUGGUCUAAUAUUUAUUAUUUGCUUUCUUCUGGUGCCUGAGGGUUUCUUUUGUUGCUGUCUUUCUAUUUGUUCAAGUUGUAGGGAUAAUUCUUUGAUUUUGGCCCUAUCUUCUUUUUGGAUGUGUGCAUUUAUUGAUAUAAAUUGACCUCUGAGCACUGCUUUUGCUGUGUCCCAAAGGUCCUGAUAGGAAGUGUUUUCAUUCUCAUUGGAUUCUAUGAAUUUCUUUAUUUCACCCUUAAUGUCUUCUAUAAUCCAGUCUUUUUUGAGCAGGGUAUUGUUCAGUUUCCAAGUGUUUGAUUUCUUUUUCCUGUUAUUGAUUUCUACUUUUAUAGCCUUAUGGUCAGAGAAGAUGCUUUGUAAUAAUUCAAUGUUUUGGAUCUUGCUAACACUUGCUUUAUGACCUAAUAUGUGGUCUAUUCUAGAGAAUGUUCCAUGUGCACUAGAAAAGAAAGUAUACUUGGCCGCUAUUGGGUGGAGUGUUCUGUAUAUGUCUAUGAGGUCAAGUUGGUUGAUUGUGGCAUUUAGAUCUGCCGUGUCUUUAUUGAGCUUCUUUCUGGAUGUCCUGUCCUUCCCUGAGAGUGGUGUGUUGAAGUCUCUGACUAUAAUUUUGGAGAAGUGUAUCUCACAUUUCAAUGCAGUAAGAGUUUUGAAGCCCUCUUAUUGGGUGCAAAAAUAUGUAAUAUACUUAUAUCCUCCUGGUAUAUUGUCCCUUUAAUCAUUAUGUAGUUUCCUUCCUUAUCCUUUGUGGUGGAGUUAACUUUAAAGUCUAUUUUGUCAGAAAUUAAUAUUGCCACUCCAACUCUUUUUUGAUUGUUGUGUGCUUGAUAUAUUUUUUUCCAUCCUUUUAGUUUUAGUUUGUUUGUGUCUAUCUAAGUGUAAGGUGUGUCUUGUAGGGAACACAUAGAUGGAUUGUGUUUUUUUAAUCCAUUCUGCCACUCUCUGUCUCUUUAUAGGUGCACUUAGUCCAUUUUGUGCUGUCAUUUUGAUGUCAUUUUUUGUGUGUUGUUCACAGUUUCUUUUCCCCCUUAAUUUUUUGUGCUGAGUAGUUUUUCUUUAUAUAUUCUCUUUUCCUCUUAUUCAUUGUUGUUGAUUUUUUGUAUUUUAGUUUGAUGAGUAGGAUAGUUGGCCUCUUUGUGGUUACCUUAAUAUUUACCCCUAUUUUUCUAAGUUAAACCUGACUUUUAUUUCUUUAUAUCACCUUGUCUUCCUCUCCGUAUGAAAAGUCUAUGACUACAUUUCUUAGUCCCUUUUUAUUGUUUUAAUGUCUUCUUUUACAUAAUAACAUCACUGUUUCCUCUUUUGAGUGUUUUUUUGUCUUGAUUUAUUUUUGUGAGUUCUCUGGGUAGACAUCUGAUUGCUCUGCCCAGUGUUCUAGUCUUGGGUUGAUACCUGAUAUUAUUGGUCUUCUGACCAAAGAACUCCCUUUAGUAUUUCUUAUACUUUUGGUUUGGUUUUUACAAAUUCCCUAAACUUCUUUUUAUCUGGAAAUGUCCUAAUUUCACCUGCAUAUUUGAGAGACAGUUUUGCUUGAUAUAUGAUUCUUGUCUGGCAAUUUUUUUUCCUUCAAUGCUUUAUAUAAGUCAUCCCAUUACCUUCUUGCCUGCAUGGUUUCUGCUGAGUAGUCCAAGCUUAUUCUUAUUAACUCUCCUUUGUAGGUGACUUUUCAUUUAUCCCUAGCUGCUCUUAAAAUUCUCUCUUUAUCUUUGGUUUUGGCAAGUUUGAUUAUAAUAUGUCUUUGUGACUUUCUUUUAAAAUCUACCUUAUGUGGAGUUCGAUGAGCAUCUUGGAUAGAUUCCUUCUUAUCUUUUACAAUAUCAGGGAACUUUUCUGCCAACAAACCUUCAACAAUUCUCUCUGUAUUUUCUGUUAUCCCUCCCUGUUGUGAUACUCCAGUCACUUGUAGGUUAUUUCGCUUGAUAGAGUCGUGCAUGAUUCUUAAGGUUUCUUCAUUUUUUCUAAUUCUUUCAU